rnacentral:rRNA from 1 species
CAGGCCUAACACAUGCAAGUCGAACGAGCUGAGACCUUCGGGUCUCGAUGCUAGUGGCGCACGGGUGAGUAACGCGUGGGAACGUACCCUUUAGUACGGAAUAACCAAGGGAAACUUUGGCUAAUACCGUAUACGCCCUUCGGGGGAAAGAUUUAUCGCUAAAGGAUCGGCCCGCGUCUGAUUAGGUAGUUGGUGAGGUAACGGCUCACCAAGCCGACGAUCAGUAGCUGGUCUGAGAGGAUGAUCAGCCACACUGGGACUGAGACACGGCCCAGACUCCUACGGGAGGCAGCAGUGGGGAAUAUUGGACAAUGGGCGAAAGCCUGAUCCAGCCAUGCCGCGUGAGUGAAGAAGGCCUUCGGGUUGUAAAGCUCUUUCGACGGGGACGAUGAUGACGGUACCCGUAUAAGAAGCCCCGGCAAACUUCGUGCCAGCCGCCGCAGUAA